GAGGGAUGUGGUUUUCAAUAGUUUACCUCCCAACUUACAAGAUUUCCAAGCUGGUGGAAGCCCAGAUAUGACCCCAGAUGUGUUUGUGCAGCCCUUUACUCCAUCAGCAGCAUCUCCCAGACACCAGGCUCACUGCAGGUCAGGCAGAGCUCCCAUCUUGCUCACUCAGGGUUAAUAUCCAAUUUCUACAGGCAGAGCUGGCUGUGCCCUGAGCCCCAGCAGCUCCCAGGAGAAGUCAUACAAAUAAUUUCUUCAUUUAACCUUGAAUCUUCUUCCCCUUGUGGAAAAAUGAAGGCGUUUUGGUCUCAGAGUCAAAGGAAAGGGGAGCAGUGAGGUGGUUUUGAGUCAUGGUGUAUCAUUGCCAUUGGGUUUUUCUUUAUAAUUCCUGUGGCAGGUGGGUGGGGAUGUGCCUGUGGGACAGGAUGUGCCCCUAAAUUGCAUUUCUUGGACUGCAGGACCACCAGACCCUGUCAGAACUGAACAGAGCUGAUUCAAACCCAGCAGAGAGAUGGCUCCUGGCAUUCCAUCAGGUCUGGUGGGAUGGUCCCUCUGGCUCCACCAGCCCUGCACACCCCAAAGCCCUGGAUGCCAGGACACCACUGGUGCUCACUGUGCACUGGCAGAGCCCUGCAGAGCUGGGAGGGAGCAGAAAGGGCUGAUCUCCAUCUCCAAGAGCUGAUCUCCAUUUCCAGAGCUGAUCUCCAUUUCCAGAAGUUGACCUGAGCUACAGGGACAGAUUGGUGGGGCUGACAAGCAACAUUUGCAGUUCCUCUGCAGCACUGAGCACCUCAGGCAACACUCACACCACCAAAUCUGCCCUCCAGAAUCCACACAACUGGAAAAGUGCAAAUGACCACGAUGGCCAUCAUCAUUCCUAAUUAACAAGGUGGAAAUGCAGGUGCUGGGUGUUUCCUGAGGGGCUUUGCUUGGCUCCCAGCAGCUUUCCCCAGGAGCCAGGCUGCCUGUGGGGCAUUCCAUGGCCAGCACAACUGGCAGGUCAGGGGCCAACUGUGUGCUCCAGGCUCAGGGUGGUGUUGGCUUCUCCUGCAUCUUCACGCCCCGAUGGAUGAUCCAGAUCUGUGUCCAUGAGGGAUGAGCUCAUGAGCUGGAGAUGAGCUCAGGAGAGCUUUCCCCAGGAUGGAAAAGCAGCAUGGACAGGCAGAAGAUAGAGGAGGUGUGUCACCCUGGUUUUUUAAGAUUUUCUAAGCUUUCUGAUGUUGACAUCCUUGUAGUGAACUUUCUCACACACUUUCUGUAAAUAACUCAUUGUUUUGCAUUCCUUUAUGGAGGAGGGGAGAGUUGAUGGACUGUUGGUUUGUCCAGUGUCAUUGGAGAGGUGGCACUGUCACCCUCCAAUCCACUGUCACUCUUAGAAAACUAUUAAUGUUGGAGUCAGAAAAUAAACUUCCCUUUUUCUUCA
rnacentral:lncRNA from 1 species